rnacentral:rRNA from 1 species
GACGAACGCUGGCGGCGUGCUUAACACAUGCAAGUCGAGCGGUAAGGCCCUUUCGGGGGUACACGAGCGGCGAACGGGUGAGUAACACGUGAGUAACCUACCCUCAACUCUGGGAUAAGCCCGGGAAACCGGGUCUAAUACCGGAUAUCACUUCUUGCCACAUGGUGGGGGGUUGAAAGUUCUGGCGGUUGGGGAUGGGCUCGCGGCCUAUCAGCUUGUUGGUGGGGUGAUGGCCUACCAAGGCGUCGACGGGUAGCCGGCCUGAGAGGGCGACCGGCCACACUGGGACUGAGACACGGCCCAGACUCCUACGGGAGGCAGCAGUGGGGAAUAUUGCGCAAUGGGCGGAAGCCUGACGCAGCAACGCCGCGUGAGGGAUGACGGCCUUCGGGUUGUAAACCUCUUUCAGCAGGGACGAAGCGAGAGUGACGGUACCUGCAGAAGAAGGACCGGCCAACUACGUGCCAGCAGCCGCGGUAAUACGUAGGGUCCGAGCGUUGUCCGGAAUUAUUGGGCGUAAAGAGCUCGUAGGCGGUUUGUCGCGUCGGCCGUGAAAACUUGGGGCUUAACCCCAAGCCUGCGGUCGAUACGGGCAGACUUGAGUUCGGCAGGGGAGACUGGAAUUCCUGGUGUAGCGGUGAAAUGCGCAGAUAUCAGGAGGAACACCGGUGGCGAAGGCGGGUCUCUGGGCCGACACUGACGCUGAGGAGCGAAAGCGUGGGGAGCGAACAGGAUUAGAUACCC